rnacentral:rRNA from 1 species
CCCAGACUCCUACGGGAGGCAGCAGUGGGGGAUAUUGCACAAUGGGGGGAACCCUGAUGCAGCGACGCCGCGUGGGUGAAGGAGCGUUUCGGCGCGUAAAGCCCUAUCGGCAGGGAAGAAGGAGGACGGUACCUGACUAAGAAGCCCCGGCUAACUACGUGCCAGCAGCCGCGGUAAUACGUAGGGGGCAAGCGUUAUCCGGAUUUACUGGGUGUAAAGGGGGCGCAGACGGCAGCGCAAGCCAGGAGUGAAAGCCCGGGGCCCAACCCCGGGACUGCAUUGGGAACUGGCGUGCUGGAGUGCCGGAGGGGCAGGCGGAAUUCCUGGUGUAGCGGUGAAAUGCGUAGAUAUCAGGAGGAACACCGGUGGCGAAGGCGGCCUGCUGGACGGAUACUGACGCUGAGGCCCGAAAGCGUGGGGAGCGAACAGGAUUAGAUACCCGAGUACA